AAGUCGUAACAAGGUUUCCGUAGGUGAACCUGCGGAAGGAUCAUUAACACUUUUCAAAACUCAAAAUUUCCCUUUUGAAUCCCUCUCUUUUCUUUCUUCUCUCUUCGGAGGGAGGAAGUCAAGAGAUUUUCAAAUUUAAUUUGAACAAAAAUGUGUAACCUUACUUUUUUACUUAUGGAUUUGAGGACAGAGGACGAGGGGGUUUUCAACUCUCUCUCUCUUCGUGGUUCUCAGAUUUUCUCAUAAACCAGUUAAACCCAAUAAAUCAAAAUAUGGCGUAUCUCGAAGGGACUUUUUGUCUCUCUGACGAUCCCCCAUAGUUAAACCAAAAACCAAAAACCAAAAACAAAAAAACUAAAAAAUAAAACACAACUCUUAACAAUGGAUAUCUUGGUUCUCGC
rnacentral:misc_RNA from 1 species